UGGGGAAUAUUGGACAAUGGGCGAAAGCCUGAUCCAGCCAUGCCGCGUGUGUGAAGAAGGUCUUCGGAUUGUAAAGCACUUUAAGUUGGGAGGAAGGGCAUUAACCUAAUACGUUAGUGUUUUGACGUUACCGACAGAAUAAGCACCGGCUAACUCUGUGCCAGCAGCCGCGGUAAUACAGAGGGUGCAAGCGUUAAUCGGAAUUACUGGGCGUAAAGCGCGCGUAGGUGGUUUGUUAAGUUGGAUGUGAAAUCCCCGGGCUCAACCUGGGAACUGCAUUCAAAACUGAGUGAAUAGAGUAUGGUAGAGGGUGGUGGAAUUUCCUGUGUAGCGGUGAAAUGCGUAGAUAUAGGAAGGAACACCAGUGGCGAAGGCGACCACCUGGACUAAUACUGACACUGAGGUGCGAAAGCGUGGGGAGCAAACA
rnacentral:rRNA from 1 species